CCAAAGGCUUUUUUGGAAGCCAUACUCACCACUAUUUGUAUUGUUU
rfam:Macaca mulatta chromosome 7, whole genome shotgun sequence.